rnacentral:rRNA from 1 species
ACGCUCGACACCUACGGUAGGCAGCAGUGGGGAAUAUUGCACAAUGGGGGAAACCCUGAUGCAGCGACGCCGCGUGGAGGAAGAAGGUCUUCGGAUUGUAAACUCCUGUUGUUGGGGAAAAAGAGGAUGGUACCCAACAAGGAAGUGACGGCUAACUACGUGCCAAGAGCCGCCGGUAAUCUGAGCGGGCUGGCAAGGC